rnacentral:rRNA from 1 species
AACGUAGGUGGCAAGCGUUAUCCGGAUUUACUGGGCGUAAAGCGUGUGCAGGCGGGGGUACACGUGGUGUAUGAAAUUUCCCAGCUUAACUGGGAAGGGUUAUGCCAGACUGUACUUCUGGAGUGCGAGAGAGGGGCGUGGAAUUCCGGGUGUAGUGGUGAAAUGCGUAGAGAUCCGGAGGAACCCCAGAGGCGAAGGCGGCGCCCUGGCUCGCAACUGACGCUCAGACACGACAGCAUGGGGAGCGAACGGG